AGGCACAAAUAAAACUUUUGAGGCUGAUAAAGCCGUCGACUUUGAGAUCAAGUCCGUGACAGGCGACAAGACAGUGAGCGUUGCCUUUGCUAAACCCUUUGCAGUCGGAGUGACCGCCCUCACCACUAUCUACGAUCCGGGUGACAGUGCUGAGCGGAAUGACAACGCUGUUGAAGGCGUUGGUGAUCAUACCGAUACGAAGCUCGUCAUCAAUUCCAUUGUCCUCGACAUCGUCCUCGUCGACGAGCACGGAGUGCAGAUCGUUCUCGGUAAAGAUGAAGAAAUACUCCUGACAUUCGCGUCCAGCGAACCGGGAGGAUUCAAGGAGAGAAUUUGCCGGUAUUAUGAUGAAGACGUGUCCAAAUGGUCUCGUUUUGGCUGCUACGUUCAAACCUCCAACGCGAGUGUUGUCACCUGCGCGUGUAACCAUACCACCAGUUUCGCAGUGCUUCUACAAUUUGAGG